AGUUUGUGAGGAGCGGAUGUAACUCCCCUACCCCCCUAUUUUCGGGGGGAGGGGAGUUUGGCAAAAGGGGAAGGAGACGCCCUGGGGUCGGAUCACAUGAUAGUAUCUUCGCGCCACUUUCGCAAAAACCCUUUUUUUACUGCAGGUUUUGCUCGAGCUCAAAGCACGAGGACGGGAGCGCGUGGUGCGAGCAGCUGGAGCACACCCUGGGCGCGCGGGCGGCUCCCGGACUUCAACGGGAGCCUUAGGUGAGUCUGAAUAGAUGUGUGAGGAUGGAAAAGAAGAGCUGGUGGAAGACAGUUUUGCUCCAGGAAUAGGCCUUGGCCAUGUAAAAGUGCUUA